rnacentral:lncRNA from 1 species
AAAAAGAGUAUAAUAUUAUUUUAAGAUAAACUCAUUUAUCCCUCUCAGUUGAAUGAUCAUUUCUUCGAUGAUGAAGACCAAUCUUCUCUACUAGUUGGUUAAAAGUUAUAGGGAGUGACUUUGAGAAAAUGUCUAGAAGAUUAUCACAUGAACGAAUUUGUUGGCUGCUUAUAUCGUCAUUUUUCUAAAGAUCACGAGUGAAAAGAAACUUUAGAGAAAUAUGUUUUGUUCGGUCUCUUUUAAUGUAACAAUUUUUCAAUUGAGCGAUGCA